UUACCUGGUCUUGACAUCCACAGAACUUUCCAGAGAUGGAUUGGUGCCUUCGGGAACUGUGAGACAGGUGCUGCAUGGCUGUCGUCAGCUCGUGUUGUGAAAUGUUGGGUUAAGUCCCGCAACGAGCGCAACCCUUAUCCUUUGUUGCCAGCGGUCCGGCCGGGAACUCAAAGGAGACUGCCAGUGAUAAACUGGAGGAAGGUGGGGAUGACGUCAAGUCAUCAUGGCCCUUACGACCAGGGCUACACACGUGCUACAAUGGCGCAUACAAAGAGAAGCGACCUCG
rnacentral:rRNA from 1 species